GAUGAACGCUGGCGGCGUGCCUAAUACAUGCAAGUCGAGCGAACAGAUGAGGAGCUUGCUCCUCUGACGUUAGCGGCGGACGGGUGAGUAACACGUGGAUAACCUACCUAUAAGACUGGGAUAACUUCGGGAAACCGGAGCUAAUACCGGAUAAUAUAUUGAACCGCAUGGUUCAAUAGUGAAAGACGGUUUUGCUGUCACUUAUAGAUGGAUCCGCGCCGCAUUAGCUAGUUGGUAAGGUAACGGCUUACCAAGGCAACGAUGCGUAGCCGACCUGAGAGGGUGAUCGGCCACACUGGAACUGAGACACGGUCCAGACUCCUACGGGAGGCAGCAGUAGGGAAUCUUCCGCAAUGGGCGAAAGCCUGACGGAGCAACGCCGCGUGAGUGAUGAAGGUCUUCGGAUCGUAAAACUCUGUUAUUAGGGAAGAACAAAUGUGUAAGUAACUAUGCACGUCUUGACGGUACCUAAUCAGAAAGCCACGUCUAACUACGUG
rnacentral:rRNA from 1 species